UACGUGAUGGCAAAACAACAUAGCAGAAGCAGUGUAGAAAAUUGGCGAUGCGAAGUUACCUGUGUUCACACUCAUCUAUUGAAAGAAAAUGGCAAUUUCCACUGUUUGUAGAGUUUGACAAUGAUCGAGCAUCUCAUUGUUCGCAUCUAACAAUAGUAUGAGAAAUGUGCGUUUACAAUAGCCAAUAUAGAGCUAAAACCUCACGGCUAGCCUAAAAGACCCAUAGCUUAAAGCAGAACAUAUUUGUCCCAUGUGGCCACUUCUAUUCGCGAUAUUCAUCAUAGCUCUCCUACCAGCGUAUAUCCAGGCAAAACCAUGUAUAACUGAAGGCUUUCAGUGCGUGCCGCCAAAUACAUGUAAGCAGUUGCGGCGAAGGAACCUUGGUGGAUGUGCUGGCGGCAAGGUGUGCUGCAGCAUUGUACAAAAACCAUGUGGCCUGAUGGGAGGAUUCUGCUUGGGAAACUGUCUCAAGGAUCAAAGGCGAAAUGCAUCUUAUGCGUGCGAAAAUGGCCUGAAGUGUUGUUUCGCUAAAAAGCAGCGAUAUUCACCAGGCAAGAGCGCUUCUGUUGGCUCUUCGCUGUGACGCAAUAAACAUGUUUGAUGUUGU